rnacentral:rRNA from 1 species
AGUGAACGCUGGCGGCAGGCCUAAUACAUGCAAGUCGAACGGCAGCACGGGUAGCAAUACCUGGUGGCGAGUGGCGCACGGGUGCGUAACGCGUAUGCAACCUACCUAUAACCGGGGAAUAGCCUUCUGAAAGGAAGAUUAAUACCGCAUAAUAUCACUGGACGGCAUCGCCCGGUGAUCAAAACUCCGGCGGUUAUAGAUGGGCAUGCGUGACAUUAGCUAGUUGGUGAGGUAACGGCUCACCAAGGCUACGAUGUCUAGGGGGUCUGAGAGGAUGAUCCCCCACACUGGUACUGAGACACGGACCAGACUCCUACGGGAGGCAGCAGUAAGGAAUAUUGGACAAUGGGCGCAAGCCUGAUCCAGCCAUGCCGCGUGAAGGAUGACGGCCCUCUGGGUUGUAAACUUCUUUUAUACGGGAAUAAACCCCUCGAUUCUUCGGAGGCUGAAUGUACUGUAAGAAUAAGGAUCGGCUAACUUCGUGCCAGCCGCCGCUGUAAAAC